GGUCGGGUGGCGCAAUGGUAGCGCGUUACUUUCCGGUUGAACUGGCCCGCUCACCACGGGUCGGGCUGAUAUUCUCAGUUGGUAAAGGUUCUGGGUUCGAGUCCCAGCUCGAUCG